GCGGCGUCAAGUCCCUGCGCGGCCUCGUCCGCUUCGACGCACGCGAGAUCCCUCCGCUGGGACAAGUAGUGCCCUGAGACUCCCGCGGCUAUGCCUCGGCUCAGCGGGUGUCAUGUAGCGGCCCGCAGUUCCGAGCGACUUGGGGUCCUUGUGCCUCGGAGUGGCGUCUGGGGAGCAAGGGCAGCGGAAGCAACCCCGCAGUUGAGGACAGUAGGGAUCGGUGGCUUUGGACCCUGCCCGCGGAGACCUGGGGCCCCAUGCCCCGAAGAAAUGGUGCCUCCUGUCCUCCCACGCCCCCCAACCUCCGCCACCUCACCGAAGCGCCCGGCACCUUAGCCGCCUCUCCAGGAAACCGGACGCCUUUUCUGGCACACCGUGGAUUCCAGGACCCCCAACAAAGGCGCCUUGGACCUUCAGGACACCCCUCCUUUCAGAACUUCUUGAGCCCCGGGUGCUAGACUCAUGUCUGCUGAGGCCUUUCCCGUGCCUGGUCUUUCUUUCUUAAAGGAGUUGGAACUCUAAAGGCCCUUCUGACUCUCAAGCAACGUUCUGGAUAGAGGCUAAUCCAUCAGCUUCAGUCCCAGAGUGAAGACAAUGUGCAGCAGAGCCACAGCUGACCUGGGAAGGACACAAAAGCUUACUGGGAAGUAAUUGAAAAACCAUCUGUGGAAUGUCCUUGAUGCAAGCAUUGAAGAGAGUCCUGAGAACUAAUUAGGACUGCUCGGAUCUGUGGAUCAGUUCUUCGAAACUAGGAAGAGAUUCAACCUGUUGUUUCUACUAUUCACUCAAAAAGUGACAAUACUGCAAACAUAACAGGCAUCUAAUUCUGGAGUAUGACAGUGUUGGCAUAAUUAGAAUUUGAGGGCCAGGCACAGUGGCUCUUGCCUGUAGUCCCAGCACUUUGGAAGGCUAAAGCAGAUGGAUUGCUUGAGCCCAGGAGUUUUCGACCAGCCUGGGCAACAUGGAAA